UCUCUCUCUGUCCCAGGUUUAGAAACAUAUCCAGAGAGACAUAAAGGGAUGUUCAGCCAUUCAUCUCAUUUUGAAGUAGGACAUGAAAGGUAAAUACCCCAGCCAGGAUGGUGUCAGGUACUCUUUGGGAGACCCUGCUGUCCCCGGUAGAAGAGAUAAAGGCCUGGUGGAUACACCACAGCUCUCUGUCUUCUUGCUGGAGAGGGGUGUGGCUUCAUCUCCCCAGCUUCCUAUGCUCCCUACCAAGUGCAGGUGGUGGUCCGCUCAGCAGAAACAGGACAGUGUGGGGCUGGCCACAAGCCCCCUCAUCUCCAGCUCCUCAGUCUAGCACACUGAUGGGCUCAGUGAUAAACAGGAAGGUGGGACAGAACCCACACCUCCAUGAUGAAUGGCUGGGAAUGCUGGGAACAGUGCUGGUUCGAGUUUCCGGUAACAGUAGCGCGGUUGGUCAGGUCAGUCUUCUGUGGCUUGAUGUGGGCAGAAGCUCAGGUUUGCCAGCCUCGCCCUAGCUCUGCGAUCUCAGACUUGUCCUUUUGCUCUGAAGUUAAGCUGAGCAGACUCCUUUGCUUAUAAAGGAACCCUGAGGGUCCUGGGUGUGGUUAGCCGCCUCUGGGAUCACUCUACCAGGAGUGCUGGACUGAUGGUGUCCUUGCUUCCUGGGUGUCUACCUUCUAUCAAAGAUUACCAUGCCCCAAACCAGCAUCCAGCAAGUCCAGCUCUUAAGGCGCAUCCUCCCUGGAACCACAAUCCCCUUGAAGCCCUCCAGCGCUUCUCUGGCCUUUUACUCUGACCUUCCUGUCUUAUACUUCAGAGUGCAAAUGUCUCUGACAGGUGGUAAGUCCCUAAAACUAGGGUCACCUCCUGCCUACCCCGUUUCUAGCCCUAUCCUCUGCACUGGACAGUGCUCAGUAAACAUUCAAGAACAGAACUCAGCUGUCCAGAUUGGACAGAUUAUUUCCCUCAUCUUGGAACCUGCAUGUGUGGCUUUGGACUCAAAGUUCUUUCAAUCAGCAUAAGAACCACUCUUCUUGAGAAAGGGCCUCUCUGUCUUAGAACUUCCUCAGCCUCCUGAGGGAUUAAAGGGGAUUAAAGCUGUUCACCAUCAUCCUUCCAAAGGAAACUAUGAUCACUGUCCUCAUUUUAUAGUGGCUCAGAGAGAUGAACUAGUUUGCCAAAGUUACGCAUCGACUAGGUAGAAACACCUUGAACUUGGACAGAGUCCAGACUCUCUGAACCAUGGUACUAUCACUAGAAUCUUGUAGACAAGCACCACUCUGGACUGGGAUGGACUGGGAGUCUCGAGACUGUGUGGUCGCUGGCUGGAGUCUCCGACAAGUUUUCCCUUCACCCAGUGGGCAGCCUGGCAGUGAGUUUGACAUCACUCUUCACCAGCUGCCUUCUGGGAAGUGUGAGUUCUCAGAGUCAACGAGGUGCCAAGACAGCAGCCUGAAGCCCACUGCUCCGCUGAGAGAGCUGGGCUUUUUGUGUCCAUGCCCAGGGCAACCACAUUUGCAGCAAAUCACAAGCAAAGGGCAGGCUGGGCUGGUGCAGAAGACGUUAGGCCUCUGUCAUUGUGGAAAGUUCUGAUCUGAAGACAGGGAGGGAGUCAGGGGUGAUGAGACUGAGGGAGAAACAGAAGCUCCUAGUCAGGGGCUAUGCUGGGAUUUGUCUCAUUUCCCUUCCUUCUUCCCUCCCUUCCCCAUAUCUCCUCUUUUUUCUUCUCCCUCCUUUUCUUUCUUUUCUCCUAUUCUUUCUGUAUGUCUGUCUAACUGUCUGUCUCUGUCUCUGUCUCUGUCUCUGUCUCUCUGUCUCUCUGACUCUCUCUCUCUUGGGCUUGUGAGUGAGAGCGCGCGCGCGCGCGCACACACACACACACACACACACACACACACACACACACACACACCCCAAUAAAAACCUCUUUGGGGAUUACAGUCCUAUCUGGGAUAUCAGUACUUCAGGGUCAGUUCCCUGUGGCCAGCUUUGAUGACCUGUUACAUGGAUGUCCUUUACAACAGAGGGUCUGGCCUGAAUGAUAAACUCCACAGUGACACCCCACCCCAUUCAAUCUGAGCCUGACUGACACAGAUAAACACUAGAUGGGGAUGAAAAUGAAAUUGACUGUUUGCUUCCAAGGCACCAGCUCUCCCACAGACGGCCCAGUGACUUUGGUUUCAGAUGAACUUUCGACUAUGGGGCUGACAGCACCUGGCUCAGGCUUCCAACAGAGAGGGACAAGGAUGGGGUCAGGAAGACUGAGAGCAACAGAAAGAAAAGUAAGUUCAAGAAUUAGUGGAUACGGUCAUUCCUCCCCACAAGUCCCAGAGCCAAAGACACCAAGACAAACCUGUGUCUGCCCCUGCAUAGUUCAGAGACAGCUACUGGCUGCUUCGGUGGGUCUUGGGAUGGUAUCUUGGGUGAAGGCCAGGUAAGUAUAACUGUCCAUUUCCCUGAUGACUACAAAGACUGAAAGAGAUCAGAAUCCAGGCCAGUUAAGUCUGAAUCUCAACCACGUUGGACACAUUACAGUUGUCAGACAGCUGCAGAUGCCAGCUCGGCUCAGUGGCUCUGCAGGCUGGAGAUGUACUGCACACUGCAGCAGAAACCCAGCAGGCAGCAUAGCAUGCUGUGUACCUCAGUCCAAAUACCCUUGCUCCCCCAGUUCCUCACGCUCCCACCAUGAGUACUGUUCUUUUCCCUCUGAUUCUCUUUUUGUUCAUUUUUUUUUUCUGUAUAUCCUUGGCUAUCUCACUCUGUAGAUCAGGCUGGCCUCAAACUCGUAGAGAACCGCCUAAUUCAGCCUCCCAGGUACUGGGAUUAAAGACGGGCACCGCCACCAGCACCCGGCCCUAUGAUCACACUCUUAUCGAUGACCAAUUUAAGGAAAACAUGAAUGUGCCUGGAAUCUGCUCUGUGAAUGCUACCAGAAUGGUUGAUGAGAGGAACUAGAGGAAAGGUGGCUGAACGAAUGAAUGAACUCUUAUCACUUCCCUGGGACUCACUAAAAACAUUAAAUAGGCCUCUUCACUAGAUGGUGAACCAGGCGAUCAACCCGUCUGGUAUCAGGACCCACGCUAAUGUUUGUAUCCUUCCUCUGUGAUACGCAAUCCCUGCACACAAAGUGCACUCUUCUUCUAUCUCUCUGUAUACACUGAUGGUCAUUUACUUGGCAUGAACUCCCAAGCAAUCCCACUUUAAGAGUGGAAUAAACAAGACCAAAUUAGGAAGGGAAAUUUACUGCAAAAGAAAAAAAUACAUAACAAAGAAAUUCAAGGAAAACAGAAAGCCUACGUAGGCUCCCAACUCUUUUUUUUUUUUUUCUUUUUCUUUUUUUCGGAGCUGGGGACUGAACCCAGGGCCUUGUGCUUGCUAGGCAAGCACUCUACCACUGAGCUAAAUCCCCAACCCUGGCUCCCAACUCUUGAUGGUAGAUAUGCUGCUAGGCUUCCAUAGCUAGAGAGAUGGAGGACAGCGCUGGAUUGCUCACACUGGGAUCUGCUCUGCCUGGGUCCCUGUCGGCUGGGUCUGCUUCCUCCUCCAGCGUCUGGAGCCUGGCGGUACCCAGAACAGGGAGGAUGCUAUGCAGAAGCCUGUAGUUGGCCCAAAGGCAUAUUAAACCAUGAAAUGAAUGGGGAGACAAAGACAGGCAUUUCUCUCUUGGGCACCGAUUGACUGGGUGCCUGCCUGUGUUAUCACAUCCAUUAUCUCAUUUAACGAGAGUGGCAGCGUCUGCUUUCCUCCCAAGGAAAUGAGUCUGACUUCCUCUUGACUGCACUGCAACUGCUCAGACUUGCCUGCUUCUCUAGAGAUCCACGAACCAUCACCCCUGGAUGCACAUGGUGUGUGCUGAUCACUCUUUUGAAACCACUGGCUGCCAGUCCCGGCAGGACAGAUAUAGCCCUUGGCAGAAACAGUCACAAUCACAAGGUACCUCUGGGUGGAUGUGGACACAGCGGAAAUGGGUGCAGAGAUUCUGCAGAGCACAGGAAAUGAGAGGGCUUUGUUGCCUUGGCAACGGGCAGCCAGGGUCAGCGGCAGAGUACAGCAAUCAUGGGGCUAGUGGCAGAAAACAGGCCAUGUUGUCAGGUCUGAGGCUCUAGAGAUGGAGAACCCACAGAGGCAACCUUGUUCCUAUACCUGGGCUUCGGACCGGUCACUCAAGCUCUCUGGCCUAAAGGGACCACCAGAAAAUUCUAUGUGCGCACAUGUGGACUUUCAGACCAGAUAGACACCUGGGAGAAGAAGGAAGGCAGUGGGCAUCUUGGGAACCCAGAGACCACAGCAAAGAAGCCAGCUUUCCUGAACAUAUACUCUACUGGGAACUGGCAAACAAGCAUGGCUUACGUUAUCCUGGUGAAUCCAUAACGUGUAUAUGGCAAACAUUCCCAUUUUACAGAUGAGGAAACUGAGGCCAGAAACAGACUAUGCAAUUCCUAAUUGCCGCUGGUAGUGUCAAACCUAUCUCCACUGAGCCAACUGUGUACAUCCAGUGUGCUCAUAGUCAUAUGUGGAUGCAGCUACUGAAACCUUACAGAAAAAGCACCUGGACUUCCUCAUAACCAGAUGUGCUGCCAUCCAAACUCAGAAGGAACAGACAGCAUGGCCAAGGAACUCUAAGGCUUAGAAUGCAGCCUUUAAAAGGGGUGGAGGGAUACUGGUGUUGUGUUGACAAGUAGUCAUUGAGCAUGGAAAAAAAAAAAAAAAAAAAAAAAAAAAAAAGACAAGCCAGGGUUCCAGGGAUGUGGCAUUGACAGCCCAGAUCUUUUUCCCACAAGAGACUGCCAAUGAAGGCUGAGACGAACUCACCCAAGACUACAAUGGAUGGGGUAAAGGCCUUGCUCCCUGCUCUAGGCCAGUGCCAACCCAGCAUGCAGCUGCAGGAGCAGUGAGAAAGGCUCUACCCAGACAACCACCGCCUCCCCACCAGACCUCACAGGUUCCUUUGUCUCUCUUAGGUUGGACACCCUUGCUAACGACUUCUCCGGCAAAUGGUCUGGGUAGCCUCCAGUGUGUGACUUCUCGUCCCUCAGGGAUGGUUGUGUACUCAAACUGAACCAUACGGCAUUUUGUUGUGGUUGUUGUUUUGAGACAGGGUUCUCCUGGGUAGGCCUGGCUAGCCUAGAACUCACGACAAUGCCCCCCUCCCCAAUUUUUACCAUAAGAUCUUGAAGGAGAAGGGGCAUUCUCAAUGUAUAUCUGGAGCUCAUAAUCAUGGGGCAUGCAAGGCCUUAGAAACUCAAAAUGCCUGGCCAAGCUGGUACCUGGGAGGGAGCUGGGAGGAGGCCACAGUCUUUCAGGAGAAGACAUCUCUUGGCUCACCGUGAGUCAGUUCCCACGUUCUUACCCAAAAGUAUCAGGACAGAGACUGUUGCCAAGUUGGAUUUGAGCACAGGUUCUAGGAGCUACAAGUUCCAUCUUCUCAGACCUCUGACAGCCUCGGGCUCUUAUGUCUAUACGCAUAGGAGAGCCUCGUUCCUGAUUCAGGGAUGCCGUGUGGUUGUCGGUGGAUUUCACCUCUCCUAGCAAUACCUCAGGACCAUUGGCGGUGACAGAGCCUUCCAGGUGAAGGGGAGGAGGACAAGAAGGUCCAGGCAGAACUGCUAACGGAGGAGGGGCUCACCUUCAGUCAGCCCUCUCUCAAGGACCGACCCCAACAUACUUUUCUGUAGUAUAACCCGGCCUGGGAAAAGUGGCUGAAACUGAGCCAGAGGGCCAUCAGGACCUGAGACUCCUCCACUUACACUGGUGGGGUGGUGGUACCCUACGUCCCUGCUCCGAGUACUGCAGGCCCCUUCUACACCUGAGAUAAUAAAGAACCCAGAGUCUGGGAUUGGAUGUAGGA